ACUGGUCUGAUCCGGUCCGAUCCGAUCCCAAUUCCGGGGGGGCAGGUCCACUGACAAUCGAGAAAUCGAAGGAAAAUCGAUGGGCCCAGGCAAAGGAGAAGCUGGAGCGAUGUCAGCGUGACUAUGGUGGGGUCUCCUAGCUUCGUAGGCCCAAUGCAUGGACUCUUGGAAUUGGCAGUGAGGCAUUAGAUGCAGCAAUGGCAGAGCGGGGUCUCCUGGCUGUGGUAGACCUGGAGCGAGAACCUGGAGCUGAGACCUUGCAAAAGUCCUAGAACCGUGAUUGGAGCCCCAGAUGAUGAAGAUGAACUCUAUGGCUCAGUUGACAUCAAAAUUUGCAAUUCCUGUAGUGAGCAGGGCCAGAAGAGAGUACAAGACUGGAUGGUCAUUCCAAUACAAGCUGAGAACAACACGGUUUGAUUUAUGUGGUUCAAUUCUUAUGUAUCAAAAAUGAAACGUUUGGAUGGAAUUUUUCUGUUUGCAAUUAAAGUGUGCGAUUCAUGGUCCCUGGUUCACCAUGGCUCAGAGCAACCUUUCUCACACAAAUCUCCCUCCUUCACAUUAUUAAUAAUGCACAGGAUCUUGAGUGCCAUCGUUUUUGGGGAACUGAGCAGCCAAAGGGCCUCUGCUGGGCCCAUCCAAUGUACUUGUCCA